UGAUGACACUUUCUCCGGAAUCUCUGUAAUUUACAUUGAUGACUCUCUUGAACCCUUUUCCACCUGAUGACUGUGUUUGUGCUUGCC